UACGUAGGGGGCAAGCGUUGUCCGGAAUCAUUGGGCGUAAAGCGCGUGUAGGCGGCUUGGUAAGUCCGCUCUGAAAGCCCGGGGCUCAACCCCGGGAGGCGGGUGGAUACUGCUGGGCUAGAGUCCGGAAGAGGCGAGUGGAAUUCCUGGUGUAGCGGUGAAAUGCGCAGAUAUCGGGAAGAACACCCGUGGCGAAGGCGGCUCUCUGGGACGGUACUGACGCUGAGACGCGAAAGCGUGGGGAGCGAACAGG
rnacentral:rRNA from 1 species